rnacentral:lncRNA from 1 species
UUUGUAUUUAUAUUAUUCACUAUGCAACUCGUCCAAUUAUUUCAGUAUUUCACCCGCGAGCAACAUGCUUUGUAGAGUUGAUAUCACCGGUCGAAGAAGUCUAAAACUUCCUUCGACUCCUAUAAGUACCUCUAACAAAUUCGAUAAAGAUGAAGAUGAGAUAGCAGUUGAUGUUUGCAAAUACAGAGGCAUGAUUUGGCUCUCAUUUCUACUUCACUGCAAGUCCACCUAACAUCAUGUUUAGUGGUGUGUCGACUGUCAAACAAAUUUGCAAUAUUUCAGUCAAUCGCCUUCUCUUGGGAUGUGGUAUCGUCGCUCUUCCUCAUUCAACCGUCUUGUGUUUAGCGAGGCCGACUACGCAUGAAACUUAUCGGAUCGAAAGAGAACAUCUGGUAGUCGUCGUCACUUGUUUUGGUCCUCUCUUGUAUCGUUAUCCAGUAAAAAGCAAUCAUCGACCCGCCGCUGAAGUUGAGUACAUGCAUGGCACCUAGAAGCUGCUGUACACAACUCCUGUGGAUGAAACAACAAAUCAUGGACUAUGAAUAGAUUGUCAGGAAAUGCUUCCACCCAGUCCCGUAAGAAUGAGAUGUGGAAGGCUGUGAGAACCCGGGAGUGAACUAGGCUGCAGAUGAUGUAGAGAUCGUCAGAUCAAGAGGUAAAAGAAUAUCCAGAUGAUAAUGAUUGAAGGAAGUAGAGUGCGAGUGAUGAAGUAAUGGAGGAGGCGAAGUUGGUGAUUUAAACACCGAACGAGUAUCGCAUAAGAGGCAGACUGAUGAACACACUGAGUGAACCGCGCUCUAGAUCGAUCGGGACAAAGGUAAGAACGUAGUAUCUUCACUUCUCUGACCAUGAAUUUUCAUGAAAAUUAAUGUCAUUCAUCUAUGACCGUGCAAGGGAAAUCGAUCAAGAAACAUCAAGUUUCACCAGGGUAUCGAAACAAAUGAACCUGAGAAGCUAUGAUCAAAAGGGAGCUACUUUCACUUGUCCAUGGUUGUUGAAAAUAGUAUACGAGUAACUUGAGGAGGCGGCAACAUGCAUGAAGUCAAUGAAGUCAAGACAAGGCUGAUUAGCAUAUCAGUAUUUUCUUUUUGCAUAAACAAUUAUCACAUCGAAAUGUUACCUGGCCAAAUUUUCCAUUUUGAGAUAUAGAGGUUUUUAUUAGUUUUAUAUAUACUAGUUCGUUUGUUUGCAUUUCGCUGCGGAGCUGAUUGAACUUACUGACCUGUGUAUUUUAUUAUUGUUUGUAUGUGUUGAAAUGUAUGGUAAAAUAUUAUGGUUCCUAUAGAAUUGUGUAUGAUCGAAGUUAACAACGGCUCAAUAUGCAGAAAGUAAGUCAAUUUAAAAAUUUUCAACACUGAUAUAACACCAAACUUUAUCUUACCAUUGUUUAAAGGGGUUAUUAUGAUGAAACUUGAUUUUUAGUCAUUUUUAUUUCAAAUAUGUAUGUCAAAUAUUAACCAAAUUGAAAAUUUUGAAUUUUUUUAUGAAAGUGGUCAAAUUUUUAUAUAUAACACACUGAAAUUGAUUAAUUUUGACAUAAAAAAUGAAAAUUUACAAAUUGAUUAAUAUUUAACACAUAUAUUUGAAAUAAUUAAAAAUUAAGAUUUUAUUAUGUUAAUUUUUUAAUAAUAAUCAAAUAAAAUUAAAAAAUAUUUUUUAAAGAAUUUGAUUAUCGUUGUUAGGGAAUAUUGUGGUUCCAGCGGGGAAUAUGAUGCCGUGUGUCUAACCUCUUCAUGACCAUUAGGCAGCAGCUCUGGACCGGCUGGUGCAUUCGAUGAAGUUCUGAAAGAUACACCGCCUGCCUGCUAACGUUUCUGUCAAACUUACCCACAGUAAAAAGGUAGUAAUCUCUUCCCCCGAAUCCGCAAAUUCCCUCCUUCUCCGAUUUCACGCCCAAAUGCCAAUCUGCUCGUGGUCGAUACACCCUUUGGCUGCAGGUCCAUCUCCGAACGUAGACAUCAUACUGUCCAUCUGCCUACAGAGCGAAGUUCAACCAAGUCUUUCAAACUUCAGAGGGACAACAGAGAGUCUGGGAAAAGGAAGGAUUUCGGAUGUAAUUUUUUUCUUCUUCUUCUUCUCCUCACUCUCUAUUCCUUUUAUACAAGUCUCG